rnacentral:rRNA from 1 species
ACUGAUAGCAGCUUGCUUCUAUGACGUUAGCGGCGGACGGGUGAGUAACACGUGGGCAACCUGCCUGUAAGACUGGGAUAACUUCGGGAAACCGAAGCUAAUACCGGAUAGGAUCUUCUCCUUCAUGGGAGAUGAUUGAAAGAUGGUUUCGGCUAUCACUUACAGAUGGGCCCGCGGUGCAUUAGCUAGUUGGUGAGGUAACGGCUCACCAAGGCAACGAUGCAUAGCCGACCUGAGAGGGUGAUCGGCCACACUGGGACUGAGACACGGCCCAGACUCCUACGGGAGGCAGCAGUGGUCAUAGCUUGNUUUUCCUGA